GUGAAUCAUCGAAUUUUUGAACGCAAAUUGCACUCCCUGGUAUUCCGGGGAGUAUGCCUGUUUGAGGGUCGUUAGAAUAAAAAAUCGAGGCGUCGCUCUUUUUUUUAAGGGUGAUCGCGUCUGAAUUGAGCCUUCUUUCAAAUUUUAAUUCAUGUCAAAUUGCCUUAAAAUUUAUCCAUCCGGUACGAUUAAAGCGUAUUUAUGAUCAACUUUGAUUACUAACGCUCGAUGACCUUAUCAUCCCAUCUAGUACUUUUGCCUUGACUU
rnacentral:misc_RNA from 1 species